UUAAUAACCUAAGUGUUGGGUUAUCAGGUAAAUUAUUUUCCCGCUGUCAUUGAUGACCUCAUUCAGGGCGGAGCCUGUUGCAAUUAAUCACCUGUGUUGCAAUUCAGUCAGUGACGGUUUGGGUCACCAUGUUGUUUGCUGAUUCUGGUCCACUGGGUUUUCUCAAGUCCAGUCAAUGCAGACGUCUACCAGGACAUUCUGCUGAUGAGCUGAACGGAGAGGCUGAUUUGAUUUUCCUGCCCAUGCAGCCAAAGGUACUAAAAGACGAUGGCGUUCCUGUUCCUGAUUGGCCAGCAAACUCCCCUGACCUUUAACCCCAUAGAGAAACUAUGUGCUGUGGUCAAGAGGAAGAUGAAAGACACCAAAGGAGCCCCAACCAAAUACUGAGUGCAUAGAAACGAUGCUUUUCAGAAGUCUAUUUCUUGGAA